AGCGCCACUCGUUCAAAUGGUACUGGCUGCAUCUCAGCAUCUCCGAUCAAACAGCAUAUAACAAGCAAAAUGUUUAAUUUUUUAUUUAGUUCUUCGCCUCAGUUCAUCGCCACCGCCCUUUUUUGAGCCGAGGAAAACUGAUUUAUGUGCAGCCAUCAUCAGACUCCCUUGCUGAGGCAAAUUAACAAUUACUCGGGAGCAAGGCAAACGGAGCAACAAAUCAUUUUAAAAACAGGUAAAAAAAUAAAUAAAUGCAAAAUAAGAACCUGAGCACCUUGUCAAUGCAGUGUUAGUCAGAGUCUCUAUGAUGCCAUCGUUAUACAGCUCUAAAUCUCUGGAAGAACAAGUCAUAGCAGGUCAUUUUCCUAACAGAACCAUUUGUGUAAUUAAUUAAUCUAUUUUAUUCUAUCAGCAAGCAAAACCUCUGUUCAAUAACAUGCACUUCAUAUUUUUUACCCUUUUGUUUUCACAUGCUAUCAGAAAGCAGAAAACUAUCUAAUAAUUAAACAAAUGUUUGUGUCCUUAAGUCACAGACAAUAUACUCCAGAUGUGACCCCCAUUGCACAUCUGGCAAAAACACCACAACUGUCCUGAGAGACAACAUUUACACACAUUCUGUUUGCUCACAUGCUAAAGUCUGCAAACAUACACUAAUGUAUGAGGUACUUUUUAGUAUGUUUUUUUUUCUUACAAUGCGCUAUAUGUCAAACAAGAAUGAAAUAAUUGCAAUUCAGAGCUUAUAAGCACUAAGGAGGGGAUAUUUUUAGCACACUGACCAGAAUCAAGAGGAAUUUUUAAAAAAUGCAGGUUUAUUGUAGGAAAUUUCACAAAUUCCCAAUAGAAUCUGAAGCUAAUAACACUUCUAGAUGUCUCCAACUAGACUAAUUUCAGCUAAUUUUAGUUUGCAUAGAAUGUACCAAAGUUUAGGACUUUUUGCUUUACAGAAAUGCCUUGUCCUUCUCUUUGUGAAACCAUCAAUCCUUUUGGUUCACCACAGCCACUGGGCUAAGAUGAGAAUCUAUCCACCCACAUUAUUCCUUUUCCAUGGUGUUUUGCCACUCUCACCCACGCUAAAUUUGCCCACAGCGAUGACAACGCUUGGCACCCAGAGACGGAGGGAACAGUGACUCACUUGGAUGCAGCUAAAGGACUGGCUGAUGACUUCUCUAACUCAAAUGCCUUAAAUUUUAGGUGGCAGAAUUCAUAAUUAAAACAGAAUCCUAAUGUUCUAUAGAAAAAUGUCAUUUCAUGCACGAGCUACUUAUUAAAAUUAAAAACUACAUCCAGUCAGUGCCGUAGCUCCACCCAUGUGCAAAAGAAUCAGGCUCGGUCACUAUAAUUAAUCAUGAUGACAACAUAUUUAGCUAAAAUUAAAAUAUUAAAUAUUUAAAUGUGAAGCAUGUUAAUAGCUAUAAAAUAUAACAAAUGUGCUCCAGAAAAAGAAAAUAAAUUCUCCAGUCUCCUCCGUGGUAUUAACAAUUACUUGUUACUUGUUGUAACAAUUAAUUGUUUUUCUCCCCACCUCCCAGUGGUCCGUUCUAUCGUGCCUCAAUUUCAAGUUUGGCAGAAACAUGUGUUUGAACACGGCCUCUAAAAGGCAUCAAAAGUUGGGACUGAAGCGUAUCUGUGCUCAGAACACCCAAAUACCUAGCAACGGCCCUGCAUCCAGUUACAUAUAUGUCAACAUGUUAUAAUAAAAACUAUUAUAGUUUAGAUAAUAACGACUCUGUUCACUUAGCCUGGCCAUUGCCUUCCUCUGCUAUUCUGAUGGAUUCAAAUCUUGCUUCACUGUCAGUCUGGACUUUCUCCCAUUGACUUGGAUUCCUCCAGUAAAAUUCCAAGGAGAAGUUGUGAAUGAUGACAGAUUUUCUGUGCUGUUUUAGAAUUGCAGUCUGCCUCUAGCUUUAGCCAUAGCAGCUGAGGAAAUGAAUGAAGCUGUUCAGUCUGUGUUGGUCACACUUCCAAAUACUGAAUUAACAUUAAUAGCCUUCUCAUUUGGCUCCACACUUCUGUCUUUGCAGUGAAGGAUGGUUGUUUACAGUGCAGGGAAUUUCCAGUAAGAUUCAUACUGUUGAACCGGCGCAUUACAUACAUCAAGGGCAAAAGUUAGCUAUGGAGUAAAAUUUAAAACCUGAACCUAGUCCAUGCAUCCAGGAAGCAAUUGUUUCACAUUAGCGGAGAGUCCAGACCCUCUGUACGAAGCAAAGUGUAGAACAAGAAGCUGGUUUUUACCAGGCCACUGUUCACUUAUUCUGCAAAUUACUAUUUAAAAGUUGAAGGCUUAACAAUGUUUAUCUGUAUUUAUCAUGUUGUAAUCAUACACCUACGAGGUAAGGGAUUAUCUUCCCCUUCUUUUUAAUUGCAGAAGGAUAUCUCAGAUGGCUCCACAUGUAGAUCUACAGUUAUAACCAUGACAUUUAACAGAUUUUCCCAGUGGGGUAGUUAAACCUCCGUGUUUUGCUGUGAUUAAAAAAAAAAACGAGGACCAGUGACAUUUAUUUGGCAAACAAUAAACACAGAGGUCUAUUAUACCUGACCUUUUCAUGCGUCUCACUUUUCACGACUUCCAACUCUUUUCUAAUUUAUGCACAUCACAGACUUUUGAACAGCUCCCUAGUGCCUGUGCCUGCGUCACAAGUAUCCAUCUGUCCCAGCAUUAAUUGCACGCCUCUCAGCUGUAGAUUUCAUUUUUUCACUCAAGGGUGCUGCGGAUAAUGCCAUCAAAACUAUUCUACGUGCAGACAGAUGCCUGUCUGGGUUCAACAGAUGCUAAUCUUAUAGAAGAUAAUUGGCUCAGAUAAUUGGAGAGUUUGUCUCUCUCUCUUUUUAAAAUUGAUCCUUUUCUUAAUUAUCAAAACCUUCUGUGCCAUUAGGCAAGGCACUUGUUGUCUGAUAUGCAUGUCAGUGUAUUAUUGUGUGUACAUCUGUGAAUGUAAUUUAUGUGGAUGUGGUGUAAAGUGCGUUAAAUUGGCUUAAAUUGAUAUGACCAGAAAAAUUAAUAAAUUUUGUCCAUUUCCCACUUGUUUUCCCAGAUCUAGACUUUGCCUAGCUGCAGCACUGUGAGCCAACUGCUGUUCCAGCUGAGGGGGAAAUGUCUCUAAUGUCAUUUGAAUAUUUUCAGACUGCAAAAGUGGGUAAAAUACGACCAAUAGCUUUGAAAAUAAAUUCAUGUGAUGGACUAAAGCCAAGAUUAAAGUUGAAGCUUCCUCCUUGUUCACUGUAUCUACCCCAGUAUGAAAGAACCCUAAUUUCAUCAAUUAUGUAGUAUGUCCACUAGAUUAAUAACAUUCUCUCCAACCUCAUUAAUACUGUAAGCAGACACUCUAAAAACCAUUUGUAUUAGUUCCCCCAGGAGAUUUUUCCAUGGAAUCCCCCGUUUUAGUGAGUCAGAGUAUAAAAUAAAUCUGCAAAGAAACUGGUCAUGAGUGGGCUAUCAUGAAGCUUCACUCAUUACGUCAUUCCCUCAGCCACCGCAUACAAACAGAAGCAGCCAUGCAAACAUAAUGGGCAUUUGUGCCUGUAGGUCUGGGUGCUCUCACACAACAAUGUAGAAUGGUAUCUGAGGACAAAAUGAUUUUGUCUGAGUAAAUGUUGGGCGAUAGUUUACAGUUCUCGCUCUGAAUUUUAAAUGCCAGGGAACCAUCUUCUCCUGCCAAGAGUUUGAUGAGCAGAUGGGAACAGAGAAGUGAAGCAUGCAUUUCCUUUUUUUAGACUGUCUAAAGAGAAUGGCAGAAAUAGGUGGAUUUCUUAUUUUCUUGUCCCCUCAUUGAAAAGUGCCAUCUCCGAGAUUUGAGUCUGAUCCUGUUACAGUCAAAAUCUAGUCUACAGGGCAGUGGCGUUGUAAAAGCCAACUUUAGAAUGCACCUGACAAGUUGUGUAGAAGAACAGAAAUGCAUCAAUAAAAUCUUGAAAUUUGCAGUACAAUUUAAAUGACAAGGUAGGAAGUAAAUUCCCCAAAAGAGCCAAACAAAAAUACUUGCAAAAUAAAUAGGUAUAAUGAAUAGGAUCAAGCCAAAUAAUAGAAUAAAUAUUAAAAAUAGAAAGUCAAAUUGAUAAUUCCCCUUAAAAGCUUUACUUUUGUUUUGCCAUUGCUUUAUUGCAAUGAAAUAACUGCAGCAGCAAAAAACACGUCAUCACAGGAAGCCUAAAUCCAGCUGUGUAUCAGGAGGUCUGAGUCAGUAAAAAGAAAAGGUCAAUGAGAACAGCUCUGAAAAGUUAAUCCCUAUGUCAGUCAGAGGGGCAGAGAGGUGGGAGAGACGGUGAAAUUGGUCCCUCUGUUGGAAGAAAUCAGUAGUGCAAAGAUUUAACACGUGAUUAUCUCCCUCUGCUCAUCCACCCAGGCUUUUUGCAUUAAGCCAAAGUACUAAAGCAUAAUCUCAUCUAUGACAGUGUGUGUUUGAGAGCGAGAAAGGGAGGCGGUUGGAGGGAGGCAAAUACGUCAUUCUGCCCCGGCCAGUCAAGUUCUUUAUCUAUUCUAGGGCAAGCGCCAUACUGACAAAGCUGGAUGAAAAAAAAAAAAACAGGGCAAUGUGUGGAGGUGAAAGCAAGGGGACGGUUAAACGUAUAACAUGUCUGUCUCCAUUUCAAACAAUGAUAGCACACACCACGUUCUGCAUUCAUCAGAUAAAUAUUGCGCAAUUAAAAUUAUUUAGUUGAACAAAAUUGUAAAAAAUGUAGAGCAAAUAAUAAAAAAAGAUCAAACUAAGUAUUACAAAAACAAAAAGAAUAUACUCAUAUGUUACUGAAAAAACACAGCUUAAGGACAGAGUUGUGUUCUCACACCUUUUGAAGAAUUGGCUCAUUUAAAGCCUAAUUAUAACCACAUUCUUGUUCAGUAUGGUUUGUAAAGCAAGCACGCAGUGAAGAUGUUCAAUAGGGAUGUUUGUUCUGAUCCCACGUGUACCUUUCCUUCAAAAAUAAAGGUCAUGAGAACAAAAAGCUGCCUAAAUCCCUCCCCAUGGGAGAAAGCACUGGCUAAACAACUUCUUGCAUGUCUUGAUUCCGGCAUGAAUCAAACAAAUCCUCAGUGCUGCACCAAAGAAAGCUAUCAGGAAAUGCAGGCAGGCUUUGGAUACUUUCCUCUCUGGAUGGCCUGGCUUUGUAUCUCUGUCGGAUUGGUUAGGAUGGGCCCCGUGGUGCAGAGCAUGACAAAGAUAAUUUAAUGAGAGCAAAAAUAUUCCAGUGCCAGUGAGAAAGAAGGCUUGGUGGAAGUAGGGGAUGUAUGAUGAGUGCCUUUUUUUAAUGUGUGACCGAUUGUAAGCUUGUAAUUUUUUCACUCAGCCUUAGGGCAUGCAUUUGAUGUGUGUGUGUGUGUGUGUUUUUUAUCCAUCUCAUUCUUGCAAACCCUGGUUUUCUCACUAUUUCAUGCUCAAGGCUCAAAUCUGUGCUGCUGUAUUUGUGUCUUUCUGUGAAACAUUUUCCAUUCUGGAAUUGUACCAAUCUCACUCUCUUUCCCCCUUGUUUGAUUUGCUUUCUCCUGUUUACACACCAAAUAAAGAAAAAAAAAUCAACAACAAUCUUGCCAAGGUUGUUGCAAAUCUGCACCAUGCAUCUCUCUCAUUCUCUCUCCUUAUUUAUUCCUUAAGCAUCUCUUCAUAACCAUGCGGCUUCCUUCCAGCUUGCAUCCAUGUGAAACAUGCUGGGAUGGAAGGGAGAGUGAGAGUGGGGGUGGGUGCACCAGCAGCAGCUCCCUGGAAACAGACUGGCUCAUCAUCACAGCCCAGAAACAGUCUCCAUGGCAACCUAACUUCACUCUCACACAAAGGACACACCCUUGUCAAUGAGAAAAACAGGAAGUGGUCCAUGAGAUGUGCGCGUCAGAACGGCAAAUGAAUCUCAAAGCUAGUUUGUUGAUCUCCUGCGUUCCCCACGUGUGUAGACUUGGGGUGAGGAGACAUUUAUACCAUGCUUUUUGUCCAGCUGUUGAACCCAUCUGGGCAAAUGACUUGCAGUUAAAGCCUCUGCUGCAGGACAUCAGUCCUCACACUGCGAAGCUCUUCGCUGAGAGCUCCUGCAACCAUAAUGUACUGUAGAAUAAAUAAUUUAGUGCAUGUUGCAGCAUCAAGGGAGGCAAAGUUAGAAGCUUUUAUCAUAUAUACAUUCUAGAGCUUUCAUGGCUUUGUUUUUAAACAGUGUGUGCAAGUGAGACACUGAAUUGCAUCCUUUAUAUAAAAUCCGACCGUCCAGUAGCUCAAUGCUGCAUGGAUAAAAAGCCUCCUCCCUCCUACUGCCCUCUAAAACACAGGUUCAGCUGUGAUCGACAUUGGGUUAUGUCCGGCCCCGCCCAGCCGCAGAGCCGAACAGGAGGGAGAGCUGAGGCGAACUGAGCUGAUGCCUCGAUCGGAACGGAAGCUCCCCACUACUGCUACUGCAAAGGGUAGCGGAAAAUUACCUGCCCCUCCCCCACUUUCUACCUCAGAGACAGAGAGCCGCAGCAUACAGUGCACGAGCUGGAGCAUUUACGCAGAGAGGCAGAUCCAGACAUUGUUUCGGGAACCAGUGGAUUCGGAGCGUGCGUACAACCUACAUUGCGCAUCGACUGUAUCGGACAUAGAGCCGCGCAGCAAAUACAAGUUCAGUCUGAUGGCGCCUGUAGCGUGCUGCCGUGGUCAAAUCACUCGCUGACCCACUUAAGCGACGCUCAUAACCUGAUAGACUUGGCUCGCAAUAUUCCGCGCGUGUGAGAGAGGACGGAGCCGGGUUUCACUCUCACCAGCCAAGAACAAAUAAAAAAAAUAAAUAAAUGACUGAAGCUUUGACAGAUGAUUGCAUGACUGUGUGUCUUGAACCGCUCCCUGAAAUGAGGUCAUAGCGUCUGAGUGGGUCACAACACUAUGAAGCCAUUGAAAAAAAACAAAAAAAAAACAAAACUGAGCCACCAAACCUCACUGGGAUUACCUGAACCCAAACCACCUGCAAAACGCAGAAUUAUAUAUUUUAUGAUUAUACAUGUACAAAUGAAUACGCGACGAGCUUCGGGACUAAAGCCCACUUGACCUGACACGGAACUGGAUUUUGUAAGCACAUUAAGGAUAGUAAUGAAAAUAUAUUAAAUCAGGUUUACAGCGCUCCGCAGCUGAGAGCAUGCAUGUCUGAAGAAAUUGAGUUAAUUUCCUGUUAGCUCCUUCAGCUGCUCCCCUUUCACCAGGAGGGAGUGUGCAAGUGGGGGGAGGGGAGGAAUUCAUCAGGAUACGCAAGAGAAAAGAGACGCCCGAGCAAUGGAUGUCAUGAUUCAGCCUUUCCCCGGAAUGAAGGUUAUAAGGUUUUCUGAUAAAAUAUGCUAAAGAACUGUAAAUAAAAACAAUACAGCAGAAUGGGAGCAGCAGGGGAUCAAACAGAAGACCAGACUCAUUACACAGAACACCUGCAAACCUUUGCAGUCUCUAAGAAUGGGCACAAAUGUGUAUCAUGACUACAAAUGUAUGGACAUUUCCCUUAAUAGGCUAGAAUUUAUAUUGAUGUGUUAUGUAGCAUCCAGCGAGUAGAGAACAUUAUGGGUCAGGCUAUGAUCAACACAGAUUUAAGAUUCAAGUAGAAUUGAACAACAAUUAUUACAUCAAAAGAAAGGAUGAACAAAUAAAAAUGAACAAUGAGAGCAAAUGUUAGCUUAUUGUGAAAUGAGACAAUCAUAACAUUAGUAACACAUUUAAUGUUCUCUUUAUGUGGAAAGUAUUUGUAUCUCAAAAUGUUAUGAACUGGUUUAUAUCUCGCACAGAAAUGAUAUGUAAUAAAUAAAACUUGAUUCUGUGUACUUGAAAAGUGCAAGUGUAAA